GAUGAACGCUGGCGGCGUGCCUAAUACAUGCAAGUCGAGCGAAUGGAUUAAGAGCUUGCUCUUAUGAAGUUAGCGGCGGACGGGUGAGUAACACGUGGGUAACCUGCCCAUAAGACUGGGAUAACUCCGGGAGACCGGGGCUAAUACCGGAUAACAUUUUGAACCGCAUGGUUCGAAAUUGAAAGGCGGCUUCGGCUGUCACUCAUGGAUGGACCCGCGUCGCAUUAGCUAGUUGGUGAGGUAACGGCUCACCAAGGCAACGAUGCGUAGCCGACCUGAGAGGGUGAUCGGCCACACUGGGACUGAGACACGGCCCAGACUCCUACGGGAGGCAGCAGUAGGGAAUCUUCCGCAAUGGACGAAAGUCUGACGGAGCAACGCCGCGUGAGUGAUGAAGGCUUUCGGGUCGUAGAACUCUGUUGUUAGGGAAGAACAAGUGCUAGUUGAAUAAGCUGGCACCUUGACGGUACCUAACCAGAAAGCCACGGCUAACUACGUGCCAGCCGCCGCGGUAA
rnacentral:rRNA from 1 species